GCUUACGGCCACACCGGCCUGAGUACAGCCUGAUCUCGUCUGAUCUCGGAAGCUAAGCAGGGUCGGCCUGGUUAGUACUUGGAUGGGAGACCGCCUGGGAAUACCAGGUGCUGUAAGCU
rnacentral:rRNA from 1 species